rnacentral:lncRNA from 1 species
AGAGGUUUUCAUAAUGAAUGCAGCAUCCCUGGGGAGUGAUCUGAAGCUGGCGAGGCAAUGAGAACACCCUGGCAGGGCAGCUGAGCUGGGUGGAUCCUUGUUCUGUCACCAAGCCUUUAAGUCAUAUGCUGACAUGUUACAGUCCUGCCUGGGACCCUGCCCACAAAUACUUAAGAUACACGACUUUGGGAAUCACCCAACUGAUGGAAAGAACCAGGAAAGGGGUCAGGAUCUGCACCUUGGCAAACUUUGAAGAACACCCAAUUUGAUGAAUGAAAACUCCUCACUUGUGCUCUGGUGGUGUUUUAGGACAAUGGGCCCCUCCUGGAUGCUCCAGUGAAGCCCCAUAUCACCUUUUUCCUUCCUGUUUGCCAUAGCUCCAGGUAAGAGACACUGUAGUCAAAAUGACAAUUUUGAUUUCAAUCUUGAAAUGUGCAGCCUAAAUAUAAAGCUCAUCUAUUUGGUUUGA